rnacentral:sRNA from 1 species
UUCUUUUUUGUCACCUUUAAAUUGUGCUAUGUACUAUGUGACGUAUAAAGUCAGUUUUCUUAUUAGAAAAUAACAUAAUAAUAGUUGCUCAGAUAAUUCUGAUUCAGGCAUCAAUGACAUGCUUAUAUUAGAGAUUAGGUAGGGAUUAAUGGCGCAUGCGAUGGGAGGCCCAUAAUCAUGAGGAAACAUGUAAUGUCCCACAUUGUGAGAGAAACCUUGACUAAUAUAUAAGAGAUAUAAGCUACUCUACCUAUUGUCAAUUGGUUUUAGGUUAGAAACCCAUACGACUUUAACAUGGUAUCAGAGCCAGGUUAUAUGAGAUAAAUUAAAAUCAGCAUUAUUUCAUUGAACUCUAAAUCAUGAAACACUACAUUCUUUUAUUUGUAAACUCUCAUCCCUAUAUAUAAAAUCUAUGUAAGAGCUUCUAAAUAACGUUGUCCUAUU